rnacentral:rRNA from 1 species
UGGGGAAUUUUGGACAAUGGGCGCAAGCCUGAUCCAGCAAUACCGCGUGCAGGACGAAGGCCUUCGGGUUGUAAACUGCUUUUGUACGGAGCGAAAAGGCUAUUCCUAAUAUGAAGAGCAAAUGACGGUACCGUAAGAAUAAGCACCGGCUAACUACGUGCCAGCAGCCGCGGUAAUACGUAGGGUGCAAGCGUUAAUCGGAAUUACUGGGCGUAAAGCGUGCGCAGGCGGUUUUGUAAGACAGAUGUGAAAUCCCCGGGCUUAACCUGGGACCUGCAUAUGUGACUGCAAAGCUAGAGUACGGCAGAGGGGGAUGGAAUUCCGCGUGUAGCAGUGAAAUGCGUAGAUAUGCGGAGGAACACCGAUGGCGAAGGCAAUCCUCUGGGCCUGUACUGACGCUCAUGCACGAAAGCGUGGGUAGCAAACAGG